GACGGAAAAUUGCGGCGGCGACUGCGUCAGAAGCUGAACCAUCACUAUGGUAGAGCUAAGAAGGUUCUACGAGCGCUUCAGACCAAUCUUACCAACGAAUGACAUACAGAAGUGAUUCGCAAAGAACGUUUCAGGAAACACACAAAAUGUUAAGGUAGAACUUAAAGUGUAAUUCCAGCGUAAAUUGAACUAAGGGUUCACUUAGAUAUUAUCAGCAAUGUUUUAUUAUAACAAGUGUUUGUUUUGCGUUCGGAGGGGGUCGAGCCUGGGGUGUAAUUCAAUGUAGAACCGCCACUGAAUGAAGGGUUGCAACUUGCAAUGGAAACUUUUGGACUAAACACUGCGGCUGCAAGUGCUACACCUGCUAACAUCAAGCAGCCAGUCAACCUCCCUGCUCCUCCACCUACCAACAUCCAGCACCCAGUCAACCUCCCUGCUCCUCCACCUACCAACAUCCAGCACCCAGUCUACCUCCCUGCUCCUCCACCUACCAACAUCAAGCAUCCAGUCAACCUCCCUGCUCCUCCACCUACCAACAUCAAGCAUCCAGUCAACUUCCCUGCUCCUCCACCUACCAACAUCCAGCACCCAGUCAACCUCCCUGCUCCUCCACCUACCAACAUCAAGCAUCAAGUCAACCUCACUGCUCCUCCACCCUCCAGGACGAAGAGGGUUGUAACACCAAGUGGGCAGUAUAUGCCAAGAAGCUGUGCAUGACAUCCAAUACUACCUCAUCGAGUCAUUCGAGUGAUGAUGAGUUCAUCGACUGGAAGAACAUGGAAGCCUCCAUGAAGCUUACCCGUCCUAUGUAACUACAUAUUAAUUAUUCUUCGCUCAGGAGGAUAAUUUUACACCAAUGAGGACUUAUUUAUGAAUGAAUAUGUUGAUUUGAG
ensembl:lncRNA